rnacentral:rRNA from 1 species
CUUGAGGCAAGUAGGGGCGCAUGGAACUCUUGGUGGAGCGGUGGAAUGCGUAGAUAUCAAGAGGAACGCCGAUGGUGAAGACAGUGCACUGGGCUUGUCCUGACGCUGAGGUGCGAAAGCGUGGGGAGCGAACGGGAUUAGAUACCCCGGUAGUCCACGCCGUAAACGAUGCCUACUAGGUCGUGGUUGUUCUGACACACUCACGGCCGAAGCAAAAGUGUUUAGUAGGCCGCCUGGGGAGUACGGUCGCAAGGCUAAAACUCAAAGGAAUUGACGGGGGCUCACACAAGCGGUGGAGCAUGUGGAUUAAUUCGAAGCAACGCGCAGAACCUUACCUGGGUUUGACAUGUAUGGAUGCCUGCUGUGAAAACAGUUAGGUUGCCUUCGGGUGAAACUUACACAGGUGCUGCAUGGCUGUCGUCAGCUCGUGUCGUGAGAUGUCGGGUUAAGUCCUUUAACGAGCGAAACCCUUGCCCUUAGUUGCCAGCGGGUCAUGCCGGGGACUCUAACGGGACUGCCGGUGUCAAACCGGAGGAAGGUGGGGAUGACGUCAAGUCCUCAUGGCCUUUAUGCCCAGGGCCUCACACUUGCUACAAUGGGUGCUACAGAGCGACGCGAGACCGCGAGGUGGGGCUAAUCGCAAAAAAGCAUCCUCAGUUCGGAUUGCAGGCUGGCAAUUCGCCUGC